AACUGAUACUACCUGCGGGAACCUGCGGAGGGAUCAUUACCGAGUUUACAACUCCCAAACCCCAUGUGAACAUACCUGUUUCGUUCCCUCGGCGGUGUCCGGCAACGGCCCGCCAGAGGACCCAACAAACUCUUUUGAAUUUUUCAGUAUCUUCUGAGUGAAAAAAACAAUAAAUCAAAACUUUCAACAACGGAUCUCU
rnacentral:misc_RNA from 1 species